GACGAACGCUGGCGGCGUGCCUAAUACAUGCAAGUCGAGCGAAGUUUUUCUGGUGCUUGCGCUAGAAAAACUUAGCGGCGAACGGGUGAGUAACACGUAAAGAACCUGCCUCAUAGACUGGGACAACUAUUGGAAACGAUAGCUAAUACCGGAUAACAGUAUUUCUCGCAUGAGAGAUAUUUAAAAGUUGGUUAUGCUAACACUAUGAGAUGGCUUGCGGUGCAUUAGCUAGUUGGUGGGGUAAAGGCCCACCAAGGCGACGAUGCAUAGCCGACCUGAGAGGGUGAUCGGCCACACUGGGACUGAGACACGGCCCAGACUCCUACGGGAGGCAGCAGUAGGGAAUCUUCCGCAAUGGGCGAAAGCCUGACGGAGCAACGCCGCGUGAGUGAAGAAGGAUUUCGGUUCGUAAAGCUCUGUUGUUAGGGAAGAAUGGAUAUGUAGUAACUAUACAUGUACGAGACGACCAACCAGAAAGCC
rnacentral:rRNA from 1 species